CCCCCUUCGGGCAGGCUUACCAUGCAGUCGAGGGGUAGCAGGGAGCUUGCUCCGCUGACGACCGGCGAACGGGUGCGUAACGCGUAUAGAAUCUACCUCUUACUAAGGGAUAGCCCAGAGAAAUUUGGAUUAAUAUCUUAUAGUAUACAGACCUGGCAUCAGGAUUGUAUUAAAGGUUACGGUAAGAGAUGACUAUGCGUCCUAUUAGCUAGAUGGUGUGGUAACGGCACACCAUGGCUACGAUAGGUAGGGGCCCUGAGAGGGGGAUCCCCCACACUGGUACUGAGACACGGACCAGACUCCUACGGGAGGCAGCAGUGAGGAAUAUUGGACAAUGGAGGCAACUCUGAUCCAGCCAUGCCGCGUGCAGGAAGACUGCCCUAUGGGUUGUAAACUGCUUUUAUACAGGAAGAAACACUCUCACGUGUGAGAGCUUGACGGUACUGUAAGAAUAAGGAUCGGCUAACUCCGUGCCAGCAGCCGCGGUAAUACGGAGGAUCCAAGCGUUAUCCGGAAUCAUUGGGUUUAAAGGGUCCGUAGGUGGAUGAUUAAGUCAGAGGUGAAAUCCUGCAGCUCAACUGUAGAAUUGCCUUUGAUACUGGUUGUCUUGAGUUAUUAUGAAGUAGUUAGAAUAUGUAGUGUAGCGGUGAAAUGCAUAGAUAUUACAUAGAAUACCAAUUGCGAAGGCAGAUUACUAAUAAUAUACUGACACUGAUGGACGAAAGCGUGGGGAGCGAACAGGAUUAGAUACCCUGGUAGUCCACGCCGUAAACGAUGGUCACUAGCUGUUCGGACUUCGGUUUGAGUGGCUAAGCGAAAGUGAUAAGUGACCCACCUGGGGAGUACGUUCGCAAGAAUGAAACUCAAAGGAAUUGACGGGGGCCCGCACAAGCGGUGGAGCAUGUGGUUUAAUUCGAUGAUACGCGAGGAACCUUACCAGGCCUAAAUGUAGAUUGACAGGUUUAGAAAUAGACUUUUCUUCGGACAAUUUACAGGUGCUGCAUGGCUUGUCGUCAGCUCGUGCCGUGAGGUGUCAGGUUAAGUCCUAUACGAGCGCAACCCCUGUUGUUAGUUGCCAGCGGAGUCAUGU
rnacentral:rRNA from 1 species